CAAAGUCUGAGUGUUGACAUGUAGCAGCAAAAGCUAGCCUGGCUCUUUGCCUCGGAAGGAAGGGAGCUACCAGCCAAGUUGGCUGCAGGGGGUAAGGCCGGGAACUGCAGGGGCUAGAGAAUUCCAGACAGGAGGCCCCAGUGGGAACCUGGAACCUGGAGGUGGGUGGAAGCCCUUGUCUCAGCUGCCUGUGAAGCAUUUGCAGGGUUAGUGUUAUUUUUCUGCUUCUCUCUAACCUGGUGAAGUGUGUAGCAUGAGCCCAUUUCACAGACGCGGAAGCUGACUUCAGCC
rnacentral:lncRNA from 1 species